rnacentral:rRNA from 1 species
CAGCCGCCGCGGGAAAACGUAGGGUGCGAGCGUUAAUCGGAAUUACUGGGCGUAAAGCGUGCGCAGGCGGUUCGUUAAGACAGAUGUGAAAUCCCCGGGCUUAACCUGGGAACUGCAUUUGUGACUGACGGGCUAGAGUAUGGCAGAGGGGGGUAGAAUUCCACGUGUAGCAGUGAAAUGCGUAGAGAUGUGGAGGAAUACCGAUGGCGAAGGCAGCCCCCUGGGCCAAUACUGACGCUCAUGCACGAAAGCGUGGGGAGCAAACAGGAUUAGAUACCCGCGUAGUCCCUGUCUCUUAUAC